rnacentral:rRNA from 1 species
GAUUUUCCGGUUGAUCCUGCCGGACCCGACUGCUAUUGGGGUGAGGCUAAGCCAUGCGAGUCAGCGCUUCUAGAUGAGGAGGCGCGGCAUACGGCUCAGUAACAUGUGGUUAACCUACCCUCAGGACGGAGACAACCUCGGGAAACUGAGGCUAAUCCCAGAUAGAUGAUGGAUCCUGGAAUGGUUCUUCAUCCAAAAAAUAUACAUUUCAUGCUAUGUAUGUCGCCUGAGGAUGGGACCGCACCUUAUCAGGUAGUUGGUGGGGUAAUGGCCCACCAAGCCUAUAACGGGUACGGGCCCUGAGAGGGGGAGCCCGGAGAUGGGCACUGAGACAAGGGCCCAGGCCCUACGGGGCGCAGCAGGCGCGGAACCUCUGCAAUGCGCGAAAGCACGACAGGGCCACCCCGAGUGCUAUCCGCUGAGGGUAGCUUUUCCCUAGUGUAGUAAGCUAGGGGAAUAAGCGGGGGGCAAGCCUGGUGUCAGCCGCCGCGGUAAUACCAGCUCCGCGAGUGGUCGGGACGAUUAUUGGGCCUAAAGCGUUCGUAGCCGGCCUAUCAAGUCUCUGGUUAAAUUUCAAGGCUUAACCUUGAACGUGCUGGAGACACUGUUAGGCUAGGGGGCGGGAGAGGUUGAGGGUACUUCGCGGGUAGGGGCGAAAUCCUAUAAUCCGCGAAGGACCACCAGUGGCGAAGGCGCUCAACUGGAACGCGCCCGACGGUGAGGGACGAAAGCCAGGGGAGCAAAGGGGAUUAGAUACCCCCGUAGUCCUGGCUGUAAACGAUGCGGGCUAGGUGUUGGGUUGGCUUCGUGCCAACCCGGUGCCGCAGCGAAGGCGAUAAGCCCGCCGCCUGGGAAGUACGGUCGCAAGGCUGAAACUUAAAGGAAUUGGCGGGGGAGCACCACAAGGGGUGAAGCCUGCGGUUUAAUUGGAUUCAACGCCGGGAAU